rnacentral:tRNA from 1 species
GCAGAUAUGGCUCAGUGGUUAAGAGCACUUGUUCUUGCAGAGGACCUGAGUUCAGUUCCCAGCACCUGCA